UGCACAAUAUUGCUAGCUGUUGCUCCUAAACCCUCUUUCCGCAAGAAAUUUGCUGAAAACUGAAGUGAUCCGCUGGAACGAGGGUUGCUAUUGCCAAGCCGAGCCUAAUGACGAUUUGCUGAAUUUUCUUUGCAAUUAGACAGCACUGCUGUUGGCACUUGUAAGUAGUUCUUCUUCCCUUUAAUAAAUUUCAGGUGGCACUUCUGCCACCUUUGCAUUCAAAAAUGAUGGACCAAGUAGGGUGAUGGGAG
rnacentral:lncRNA from 1 species